AGGUUGAAACUCAAAGGAAUUGACGGGGGCCCGCACAAGCGGUGGAGCAUGUGGUUUAAUUCGAAGCAACGCGAAGAACCUUACCAGGUCUUGACAUCCUUUGACCACUCUGGAGACAGAGCUUUCCCUUCGGGGACAAAGUGACAGGUGGUGCAUGGUUGUCGUCAGCUCGUGUCGUGAGAUGUUGGGUUAAGUCCCGCAACGAGCGCAACCCUUGAUUUUAGUUGCCAGCAUUUAGUUGGGCACUCUAAAGUGACUGCCGGUGCAAGCCGGAGGAAGGUGGGGAUGACGUCAAAUCAUCAUGCCCCUUAUGACCUGGGCUACACACGUGCUACAAUGGAUAGUACAAAGGGUCGCGAAGCCGCGAGGUGGAGCUAAUCCCAUAAAACUAUUCUCAGUUCGGAUUGUAGGCUGCAACUCGCCUACAUGAAGCCGGAAUCGCUAGUAAUCGUGGAUCAGCAUGCCACGGUGAAUACGUUCCCGGGCCUUGUACACACCGCCCGUCACACCACGAGAGUUUGUAACACCCGAAGUCGGUAGGGUAACCUUUAUGGAGCCAGCCGCCGAAGGUGGGACAGAUAAUUGGGGUGAAGUCGUAACAAGGUAGCCGUAUCGGAAGGUGCGGCUGGAUCACCUCCUUUCUAAGGAA
rnacentral:rRNA from 1 species